ACAGCAGUAGCCACGGUAAUACGUAGGGUGCGAGCGUUAAUCGGAAUUACUGGGCGUAAAGCGUGCGCAGGCGGUUGUGUAAGACAGGUGUGAAAUCCCCGGGCUUAACCUGGGAACUGCGCUUGUGACUGCACAGCUAGAGUAUGGCAGAGGGGGGUGGAAUUCCACGUGUAGCAGUGAAAUGCGUAGAGAUGUGGAGGAACACCGAUGGCGAAGGCAGCCCCCUGGGCCAAUACUGACGCUCAUGCACGAAAGCGUGGGGAGCAAACAGGACUAGAUACCCCCGUAGUCCCUGUCUCUUAUAC
rnacentral:rRNA from 1 species